AACAUCGCGCACCUGCGGGAACCUGCGGAAGGAUCAUUACCGAGUUUACAACUCCCAAACCCAUGUGAACAUACCUAUCGUUGCUUCGGCGGGAUCGCCCCGGGCGCCUCGUGUGCCCCGGAUCCGGCGCCCGCCUAGGAACCUUAACUCUUGUUUUAUUUUGGAAUCUUCUGAGUAGUUUUUACAAAUAAAUAAAAACUUUUAACAACGGAUCU
rnacentral:misc_RNA from 1 species